AGAUCUCAUCUUUACCAGAAAGAUUUUUAAAAAUUGUGUGUGUGUGUGUGUGUGUGUGUGUGUGUGUGUGUGUAUAUAUAAAUAUACACACACACACAUAUAUACACAUACACAC
rnacentral:miRNA from 1 species